GGCAAAUGAUGAGAAAUACUAUCAUGACGACUUUCCAAGACUUUGUGGACACCACUCCAGACCUCGCGAGGGGUCAGCUGCAUUUGUGAUGCUGCCUAAAACGUUUAUAAUCUUGGUGGGCGCCUCUUGUCUGAAUACGCGCUCGCUGUAAAGGCGGACGGACACUAAAAUCUGUCGAUCUUUGGGGGACACUGACCGAGGCAUGUCUGUGUCCUAAAAAUCGUGCAGGACAUUUCUUUGUCCCAUGUCUUCAUCCGUGCGUAUGUGUGCGUGUGUACAUGUGUCAUGUUUUGUCUUUGAUGUGCGGUGUUCGAAUGCAGUAGGAGUGGUAGUCUGCAAGGUCUUGGUGAAUGAUUGAUAUUUUAGUAUUCUGAUGCCA